CCUGUUCCAUACAGGUUGGGAUGUGAACUAUCGCCCCGCGAUGGUUUGAACCACGCA
rnacentral:ncRNA from 1 species